rnacentral:rRNA from 1 species
UACGGGGGGGGCAAGCGUUGUUCGGAAUUACUGGGCGUAAAGGGCUCGUAGGCGGCCAACUAAGUCAGACGUGAAAUCCCUCGGCUUAACCGGGGAACUGCAUCUGAUACUGGAUGGCUUGAGUUCGGGAGAGGGAUGCGGAAUUCCAGGUGUAGCGGUGAAAUGCGUAGAGAUGUGGAGGAACACCGAUGGCGAAGGCAGCCCCCUGGGUCAAGAUUGACACUCAUGCACGAAAGCGUGGGGAGCAAACAGG